rnacentral:rRNA from 1 species
GCAACUCGACUCCAUGAAGCUGGAUUCGCUAGUAAUCGCGCAUCAGCCAUGGCGCGGUGAAUACGUUCCCGGGCCUUGUACACACCGCCCGUCAAGCCAUGGGAGUCGGGAGUGCCUGAAGUUCGUGACCGUCACAGGAGCGACCUAAGGCAAGACCGAUGACUGGGGCUAAGUCGUAACAAGGUAUC